UCAAGCAAAAAAGAGCGCAGGGUGGAUGCCUUGGCACUAAGAGCCGACGAAAGACGUGAUAAGCUGCGAAAAGCUGCGGGGAGAUGCAAAUAAUCUUUGAUCCGCAGAUAUCUGAAUGGGGAAACCUGGCUGGACGAACUCCAGUCAUCCAUACGCCAAUACAUAACGUAUGGAAGGGAACCCGGUGAACUGAAACAUCUAAGUAACCGGAGGAAGAGAAAGAAACAUCGAUUUCCAAAGUAGCGGCGAGCGAAAUGGAAAGAGGCCAAACCAUGGUGCGUGCACCGUGGGGUUCGGACCGCAUAAUUGAUUCAAAACUGUUAGCAGAACUGUUCUGGGAAGUACGACCAGAGAGGGUGAGAGUCCCGUACGCGAAAACAGGAUUGACAUGGCGGUAUCCAGAGUACAUCGAGACACGAGAAACCUUGAUGGAAUGAGCGGGGACCACCCCGUAAGCCUAAAUACUACUUAGUGACCGAUAGCGCAUAGUACUGUGAAGGAAAGGUGAAAAGGACCCCGGGAGGGGAGUGAAAGAGAACCUGAAACCCUGUGUUUACAAGCUGUGGUAGCACGAUGUAAAUCACGUGCGACCGCGUACUUUUUGUAGAACGGUCCGGCGAGUUACGCUCACUGGCAAGGUUAAGGACUUAAGGUCUGGAGCCGAAGGGAAACCAAGUCUGAAUAGGGCGAGUAAGUCAGUGGGAGUAGACCCGAAACCGGGUGAUCUAUCCAUGUCCAGGUUGAAGUUGCCGUAAAAGGCAAUGGAGGACCGAACCCACAUCCGUUGAAAAGGGUGGGGAUGAGGUGUGGAUAGGGGAGAAAUUCCAAUCGAACCCGGAGAUAGCUGGUUCUCCUCGAAAUAGCUUUAGGGCUAGCCUCGUUUUAGUCUUAUGCAGGUAGAGCACUGAAUUUCUGCGGGGGCGUCAAAGCCUACCAAGGAAUAUCAAACUCCGAAUGGCAUGUAGAUGAUGAACGGGAGUCAGACUGCACGAGAUAAGUUGAGUGGUCAAAAGGGAAAGAGCCCAGACCGCCGGCUAAGGUCCCAAAGUGCGUGUUAAGUGGAAAAGGAUGUGAGAUUUCGAAGACAACUAGGAUGUUGGCUCAGAAGCAGCCAAGCAUUCAAAGAGUGCGUAACAGCUCACUAGUCGAGAGGUCUUGCGCCGAAAAUGUCCGGGGCUAAAACACGACACCGAAGCCGCGGGAUGUAGUAAUACAUCGGUAGAGGAGCAUUCUAAAAACCGACGAAGCGUGACCGAUAAGGACACGUGGAGGGAUUAGAAGAGAGAAUGCCGGAAUGAGUAGCGAGAGAAAGGUGAGAAUCCUUUCGGCCGAAUAUCUAAGGAUUCCAGGGUAAAGCUGAUCUGCCCUGGGUAAGUCGGGACCUAAGGCGAGGUCGAAAGACGUAGUCGAUGGAUAACAGGUUGAGAUUCCUGUACCUUAUAUUAUCAGAACUGUGGGGACGCAGAAGGAAAGCACAAGCCAGAGAUGGAAUUCUGGCACAAGCGUAUAGCAGGGCGUAGGCAAAUCCGCGCCGGAAAGCGAAAGCGUGAUGUGGAGUGAAAUGAAGUAACGAAGUGUGUGAGCCAGCUGCCGAGAAAAGCCGCUAUUGUGUAAUAUAAGCCCGUACCGUAAACCGACACAGGUGGAUGAGGAGAGAAUCCUAAGGCCGACGGAAGAAGCAUUGUUAAGGAAUUGGCAAAAUGACCCCGUAACUUCGGGAGAAGGGGUGCCUACGAAUGUAGGCCGCAGAGAAUAGGCUCAAGCAACUGUUUAGCAAAAACACAGGUCUAUGCGAAACCGUAAGGUGAAGUAUAUGGGCUGACGCCUGCC
rnacentral:rRNA from 1 species